rnacentral:rRNA from 1 species
GACGAACGCUGGCGGCGUGCUUAACACAUGCAAGUCGAACGGAAAGGCCCUUCUUUUGUUGGUUGCUCGGCUAGCGAACGGGUAAGUCACACGUAACUUACCUUCCCUUUCCUUUGAGCUACCUUCAACAGACUCUGGCUCCUACCAGAUAUGCUCUCCUGCUGCAUGGUGGGGGUUGGCUACUUUGGGGGUUUGGGGAUUCACUCGCGGCUUAUCAGCUUGUUGGUGGGGUAGUGGCUUACCAAGGCUUUGGCGGGUAGCCGGCCGGAGCGGGGGACCGGCAAAAUGGGGACUGAGAUACGGCCAAGACUCCUACGGGAGGAAGAAGGGGGGAAUAUUGCACAAGGGGCGGAAGCUGGAUGAAGAAACGCGGCGUGCGGGAUGACGGCUUUCGGGUGGUAAACCGUUUCAGCAGGUGACGAAGUGGGAGUGACGGUAACGGGAAAAGAAGCACCGGCUAACUACGUG